rnacentral:rRNA from 2 species
ACGGGAGGCAGCAGUGGGGAAUAUUGGGCAAUGGGCGAAAGCCUGACCCAGCGACGCCGCGUGAGGGAAGAAGGUCUUCGGAUUGUAAACCUCUUUCAGCAGGGAAGAAGCAAGUGACGGUACCUGCAGAAGAAGUCACGGCUAACUACGUGCCAGCAGCCGCGGUAAUACGUAGGUGGCGAGCGUUAUCCGGAAUUACUGGGUGUAAAGGGUGUGUAGGCGGAGAAGCAAGUCAGGCGUGAAAUUUAUGGGCUCAACCCAUAAACUGCGCUUGAAACUGUUUCCCUUGAGAGUGGGAGAGGUAAACGGAAUUCCUGGUGUAGUAGUGAAAUGCGUAGAUAUCAGGAGGAACACCGGUGGCGAAGGCGGUUUACUGGACCACAACUGACGCUGAGACACGAAAGCGUGGGGAGCAAACAGGAUUAGAUACCCUGGUA